GCUCGCAAGAGGGAAACUCAAAGGAAUUGACGGGGACCCGCACAAGUAGCGGAGCAUGUGGUUUAAUUCGAUGCAAGGCGACGACCCUUACCUAAGCUUGACAUCACAAUGUAUGUUCCUUAAUCGGGGAGUUCCCUCGGGGGACAUUGGUGACAGGUGGUGCAUGGUUGUCGUCAGCUCGUGUCGUGAGAUGUUGGGUUAAGUCCCGCAACGAGCGCAACCCUUGUCUUUAGUUGCCAUCAUUAAGUUGGGCACUCUAGAGAGACUGCCAGGGAUAACCUGGAGGAAGGUGGGGAUGACGUCAAAUCAUCAUGCCCCUUAUGCUUAGGGCUACACACGUGCUACAAUGGGUAGUACAGAGGGUUGCCAAGCCGUAAGGUGGAGCUAAUCCCUUAAAGCUACUCU
rnacentral:rRNA from 1 species